UGCAAUCUACCUUUGCCAGAGGGAUAGCCCAGAGAAAUUUGGAUUAAUACCUCAUAGUAUAGAACAAUCGCAUGAUUGAGCUAUUAAAGUCACAACGGCAAAAGAUGAGCAUGCGUCCCAUUAGUUAGUUGGUAAGGUAACGGCUUACCAAGACUACGAUGGGUAGGGGUCCUGAGAGGGAGAUCCCCCACACUGGUACUGAGACACGGACCAGACUCCUACGGGAGGCAGCAGUGGGGAAUUUUGGACAAUGGGCGCAAGCCUGAUCCAGCAAUGCCGCGUGCAGGAAGAAGGCCUUCGGGUUGUAAACUGCUUUGUACGGAACGAAACGGCUCUGGUUAAUACCUGGGGCUAAUGACGGUACCGUAAGAAUAAGCACCGGCUAACUACGUG
rnacentral:rRNA from 1 species